GGAUGUGAAGGCGAUCUGGCUGCAACAUCUGUCACCCCAUUCAUUGCCAGAGUUGAUUCGGCUGAUCUGGCUGGGUGGGCGGGUGUCCUCUUCCUCCCUCGCUGCUCCAUGUACAUCUGUCCCCAAGUUGCAUGCUCGUUGGGUCAAAGACAAUGACGACCCCUGAUUCCUCGGUUAAGGGUAUAUGAGUAGCUGUGCUCCUCUGCUAGAACCUCCAAACAGGCUCUCAAGAGUAAAAGACAUAAACCGAAAAGAUUCUUACAAAAAAGAAACAUAAUAACACAAAGCUUUCUUUU
rnacentral:snRNA from 1 species